rnacentral:misc_RNA from 1 species
GAAAUGCGAUACGUAAUGUGAAUUGCAGAAUUCAGCGAACCAUCGAAUCUUUGAACGCACAUUGCGCCCGCCAGUAUUCUGGCGGGCAUGCCUGUCCGAGCGUCAUUUCCCCCCUCACGCGCCCCGUUGCGCGCUGGUGUUGGGGCUCCUCCGCCUGGCGGAGGGCCCCGAAAGCGAGUGGCGGGCCCGGCUGGUUGGCUCCGAGCGCAGUACUGGACGCAAGUUCUCUCCCCUCGCUCAGACGCCCCGCCGGCGCCCUGCCGUCAAAACGCGCAUGACGUGCAACUCUUUACAAGGUUGACCUCGGAUCAGGUAGGACUACCCGCUGAACUUAA